rnacentral:rRNA from 1 species
GAUGAACGCUAGCGGCAGGCCUAACACAUGCAAGUCGAGGGGCAGCACGUCUUCGGAUGGUGGCGACCGGCGCACGGGUGCGUAACGCGUAUGCAACCUACCUCUUACAGUGGGAUAGCCCAGAGAAAUUUGGAUUAAUACCGCAUAGUAUGCGACAUCAGCAUUGAUGACGUAUUAAACAUUCAUGGGUAAGAGAUGGGCAUGCGUUCUAUUAGUUAGUUGGAGUGGUAACGGCACCCCAAGACAGCGAUAGAUAGGGCCCGUGAGAGGGGAGUCCCCACCACUGGUACUGAGACACGGACCAGACUCCUACGGGAGGCAGCAGUGAGGAA